CACUUGGCUCGUCUUCCUGAUCGCUCUGUUCCAGCUUCCAGUCUUUCCCCUUCCUCCGAUCCUUCGUUCUACAUCCCCAGUCCCUAUCGGAUCGUACCCUUGCUUUGAAUCGAAGCGAAGAAAAGUAGCGGAUGGGCUACGGUUGCUGAGGAAUUAGGUUUUUCGCAACAAGAAAUGGGGUCUACUCGUGGAAGUCGAUCGUCCACCAAGAUGUGGGAUUCUGCCGCCAUGGAUGCCCGAUUCAGCUCUCUGGAGCUCAGGGUAUCCUUCGGAGAUGUCUUCAGCGGUUGCCUCUCCAAAUGCAUUCCCACCAAACAGUCAAAGGUUAGAAGCCUGGACCAAUAGAUGGAACAUGUGAGUAGGUAUACAUGAAUGUAGCGUACUAAAUGAGCUCAAGGUUGGAUGGAUGGAGAAAAGGAAGAAGAGAAAAGAACAGCUUGAGGUGAAACAUUGUAACUACUACUCUCUUUCAUUUGUAACAUCUCAAUCGUCCAUUAAUGACGUACCUUCCUGUCAA